UCGCUACUACCGAUUGAACGUUUUAGUGAGUUAUAAGGACUGUUGCCUUAGGUUGGGUAACCUCCCUUUGGCUUCCAGGAAUUAUCGCAAACUUGGCCGUUUAGAGGAAGUAA
rnacentral:rRNA from 1 species